GGAGGGCUAGUCCUAACUGGUAAGGCAGCGGUCUUGAAAACCGCCGGGCUACGGCCCUUGGGGGUUCGAAUCCCUCGCCCUCCGCCA
rnacentral:tRNA from 1 species